UGGAGCUCCACAUUGUCAUGGCAACGAGCUUGUAUUCGGUAGAUUGCUUCAGGAUAAACACAGCGAAACUCCAGAUAAAGUAUUAAUCGCAGAACGGUUGUAAAGAUCGCCAAUAGUGCAAGUCUGAGAGGAGCUCGAAAUAAAAAUCAGGUGUCAUUUUUCAUAGCUGAAUCCCAGGAGCUAACCACAGACAAGAAAAUGACAAUGUUCUGGAGAAAGGAGGAGAAUGGGACUAAUUGGAAAGUGCUUUCAGAUUGCACAGAUGCAGGAUGAGCAGUUUCCAUCUCUGCCAUCAUUUUAUGGUAACAUUGAAGGUACAAUUUUGGAUGAGAGCUGAAAAUUUGCCCAAUGACUAUUUUUUACAGAAAGUGCUGAAAGCUGUGGGUGCUGUUUAUUUCAGUGUGAUGCGGCAGUGAAUUUAAUGGAUCUAUAUAAUUCUUGCUUCUUCUGCACUAAUGAAUCACCAGCUUGUACAAAGAAAAUGAACUCCACUACAAGUCUCUGUGGUCUAAAGCCGCAUGAAGAGCCAUUGAGAUUGCAUCUGCCAUUGACCUAUUGUGAUGAUAGGCAAAUUGCAAUGGGUCCAGGUGUUUGCUGAGGCAUUUACAGGAAAACAAAGAAAUACUUUAAAGACUCCUGAGAAGUAAACCCUUUUACCUUUGACCAUAGAGCUCAAAAUCUUAUCUUAACAAAGGGUACCAAGUGUUGUUUUAAACAGUAAACCAUGAUAAUUAUAUUCUCCUUUCUACCUAUGGCAAGUAGAGAGAUUUACUGCAGAGUUCAAAGUUUUAAAAUAAAUGUUUAAAGUUAAUACACUUAAAAGAGAGGACACACUGAAACCUUCCUGGAGAUCCAUGUUAUAACUGCAGGAGGAGCAGAAGUCUUGUGGACUAGUAAUUAAAGAAAUGCAGGCAUGGCUGUUGAAAAACCUUUGGCUGUGAAGCUAUAAAUACAACUCCUUUUGAGCAACUGGUACAAAUAGGAAGUGUUUUGUACCAUUUAUAUUUCAUUUUUGUUUCUCACCCCAUGCGCCAGCUAUUUUGUCGUCAAUGCACUUUUGUUUAAAGACAGUCAACAUGUUGUAUCCCACUGAAGCUGGUUGGCUCCUGCCUCAUAUUGUAAUCAGCAGAGAGCUGAAACACAAUAUAUGUUCUGUACUUUCUGGCUGCCUGAACAAGGAGAAAUAAACAAUAAAGCAUUCACUUCAUUAUCAAUAAUUUAAGGAUAAAUGUUCUAUGUAAUGGAUGAAGAAAGGGGACUUACUUUGUUACAAUGUACCUUUCACACCUCACGUCUAAUUAAGCAAACUAAUACAUUUAAUAGAAGAUUUCUGAUUUUUUUACAUUCACUCAUUCUGGAGGAGGGAAGUUUGUUGCUGAAACUGGCAAUUGAACAUCUAUCCCUGCCUGCCUGUGAGUUUAGGGUUGCUAGGCCACAAGA